rnacentral:SRP_RNA from 1 species
GCUGGGUGUGGUGGUGCGCACCUGUAGUCCCAGCUACUCGGGGCCGAGGUGGGAGAAUUGCUUGAGCCCGGGAGGUUGAGGCUGCAGUGAGCUGUGUUGUGUCACUGCACUCUAGCCUGGGUGACAGAGCAAGACCCCGUCUCAA